rnacentral:rRNA from 1 species
UACGGAGGGUGCAAACGUUGCUCGGAAUCAUUGGGCGUAAAGCGCGUGUAGGCGGCUUUGCAAGUCGGGUGUGAAAGCCCUCGGCUCAACCGAGGAAGUGCGCCCGAAACUGCAGAGCUUGAGUACCGGAGAGGAUGGCGGAAUUCCCCAAGUAGAGGUGAAAUUCGUAGAUAUGGGGAGGAACACCGGUGGCGAAGGCGGCCAUCUGGACGGAUACUGACGCUGAGACGCGAAAGCGUGGGGAGCGAACAGG